rnacentral:rRNA from 1 species
CCUACGGGAGGCAGCAGUGGGGGAUAUUGCACAAUGGGGGAAACCCUGAUGCAGCGACGCCGCGUGUGGGAAGACGGUCCUCUGGAUUGUAAACCACUGUCCCCAGGGACGAAGAUGACGGUACCUGGGGCGGAAGCUCCGGCUAACUACGUGCCAGCAGCCGCGGUAAUACGUAGGGAGCGAGCGUUGUCCGGAAUUACUGGGUGUAAAGGGAGCGUAGGCGGGACUGCAAGUUGGGUGUCAAAUCUACCGGCUCAACCGGUAGCCGCACUCAAAACUGCAGUUCUUGAGUGAAGUAGAGGCAGGCGGAAUGCCUAGUGUAGCGGUGAAAUGCGUAGAUAUUAGGAGGAACACCAGUGGCGAAGGCGGCCUGCUGGGCUUUGACUGACGCUGAGGCUCGAAAGUGUGGGGAGCAAACAGGAUUAGAUACCCCAGUAGUC